rnacentral:lncRNA from 12 species
GUUUGGUUUGCAGUGAUGGCAGAGUCCCUUACUGAAGCUGUUUCCAUUUCUGAUGGCAGGCACUGCCUGUGUGAUAUUCCUGAAUACAGAGGUUCCUUACUUCACACAAAAUGAGAGAGUCACAGUGUUGUGUCUUGCCAGUGCCUUCAUCAAAGCUCUAUGGUGGAGUUGCUUACUACCUUUUCUCUCUUGCAGCAGCAUUUGGAAAAGCUGA